rnacentral:rRNA from 1 species
UACGGGGGGAGCAAGCGUUGUUCGGAUUUACUGGGCGUAAAGGCGCGUAGGCGGCCACCGCAAGUCGAUUGUGAAAUCUCCGGGCUUAACCCGGAAAGGUCAACCGAUACUGCGGGGCUAGAGUGCAGAAGGGGCAACUGGAAUUCUCGGUGUAGCGGUGAAAUGCGUAGAUAUCGAGAGGAACACCUGCGGCGAAGGCGAGUUGCUGGGCUGACACUGACGCUGAGGAGCGAAAGCCAGGGGAGCAAACGGGG